rnacentral:rRNA from 1 species
UACGUAGGGGGCAAGCGUUGUCCGGAUUUAUUGGGCGUAAAGAGCGUGUAGGCGGCUUGGUAGGUCCGCUGUGAAAACUCGAGGCUCAACCUCGAGAUGUCGGCGGAAACCACUUGGCUAGAGUCCGGAAGAGGAGAGUGGAAUUCCUGGUGUAGCGGUGAAAUGCGCAGAUAUCAGGAAGAACACCUAUGGCGAAGGCAGGUCUCUGGGCCGAUACUGACGCUGAGGAGCGAAAGCGUGGGGAGCGAACAGG